UUUCUCACUUUUACUUCUCUGAUUCUCUCUGCCAUCCUGCUCGGGGGAGUGAGUUAGUGAGUGGCUGUGUGGUACUCAGUUGCCAGCAGGCAUUAAACCUUAACUGGUAUAAAGAUGAAGAAUGAUGAUAUAAUAGCUCCAGUUGUCUUCUCUCCUAUAUAACCUAAUGAUUAUCACUAGUGUUGGGAAAUGAAUUUUCAGAAUUUAUGAUUCUCCAGGAAAAGAGAUUCUUGAGCAACAAACCGAAUGAGUUAUUGAGAAGCAAGGUGACGUGCAAGCAAAGUGACCAGAAAAAGAGCAUUUUAUCUUCCUCUAAGUAUGACUUCAACAUUCUCGUUUUGGGAAUCUAAUUUAAAAAUAAUUCAGUGCUUCACUGCUUAAUUCUCUUGUGCUGUUGAUGUGGGAGACUUCAGAGUGACAACAAAAAUAAGCUAGCUGAGGAAAUAUAACUUGCUGAAGGCGGUUACCUUUGU